rnacentral:rRNA from 1 species
CGCAAAUUACCCAAUCCUGACUCAGGGAGGUAGUGACAAGAAAUAACAACACUGGAAAUUUUAUUUCUAGUGAUUGGAAUGAUGGGAAUUUAAACCCCUUUCAGAGUAACAAUUGGAGGGCAAGUCUGGUGCCAGCAGCCGCGGUAAUUCCAGCUCCAAUAGCGUAUAUUAAAGUUGUUGCAGUUAAAAAGCUCGUAGUUGGAUGUCUGCUGGAAGCAAUCAGUCCGCCCUAUUUGUAGGGUGUGCACUUGAUGAAUUCUGGCAUUUUUGUCCCAAUGAUGUAACGGAGCGGUGGUAUUCGGUGAAAGCCGAGUAUCCCGUUUUCCGAUUAUUGGGAUACUGUUACUUUGAGAAAAUUAGAGUGUUUGAAGCAGGCUAAUUGCCUUGAAUACUGCAGCAUGGAAUAACAAUAUAGGAUUUCGGUUCUAUUUUGUUGGUUUCUAGGACUGAAAUAAUGAUUAAUAGGGACAGUUGGGGGCAUUCGUAUUUAACUGUCAGAGGUGAAAUUCUUAGAUUUGUUAAAGACGAACUACUGCGAAAGCAUUUGCCAAAGAUGUUUUCAUUAAUCAAGAACGAAAGUUAGGGGCUCGAAGACGAU